UCCCAGUGGUUUUGACACACUCGCCCCAUCCCACUCCAGAGCAUCCCUGCGGCUGACCCAACGCUGUUGGGACACAUUUUCUCCAAGAAUGAAACACAAGCUCCCUAGGGAAUUGGGAAGCCAGAGGUAAUUGCCAGCAACACAGCAGUAACUAUCAACACAAAGCAGAUUAUUAUUGUAGAUCACGCAGGGAGAACAAAGGAAGUAUCAUCAGACAUUUUUCAGAAGAAGGAACCGCAGUGGAGCCAGCUGGACUCAUGCAGACCAGGCCAGCACACAGGUUACACAGUGGCUGCUGGGAAGGGGAAUUUGUUCACAAUAUUUUAUGUCCGACCUUGGAAAAGAAAGACAUCAUUGGAGUCCUUUUCUUCUUGGGCUGGGUGGUGGGCAUAGAAAGGGGCUGG